rnacentral:rRNA from 1 species
ACGGGAGGCAGCAGUGGGGAAUAUUGGACAAUGGGGGAAACCCUGAUCCAGCGACGCCGCGUGAGUGAAGAAGUAUUUCGGUAUGUAAAGCUCUAUCAGCAGGGAAGAAAAUGACGGUACCUGACUAAGAAGCUCCGGCUAAAUACGUGCCAGCAGCCGCGGUAAUACGUAUGGAGCAAGCGUUAUCCGGAUUUACUGGGUGUAAAGGGAGCGUAGACGGGACGGCAAGUCUGAUGUGAAAUGCGGGGGCUCAACCCCUGAACUGCAUUGGAAACUGUCGACCUUGAGUGCCGGAGAGGUAAGCGGAAUUCCUAGUGUAGCGGUGAAAUGCGUAGAUAUUAGGAGGAACACCAGUGGCGAAGGCGGCUUACUGGACGGUAACUGACGUUGAGGCUCGAAAGCGUGGGGAGCAAACAGGAUUAGAUACCCUGGUA